UACAGAGGGUGCAAGCGUUGUUCGGAAUCAUUGGGCGUAAAGCGCACGUAGGCGGCCUACUAAGUCAGGUGUGAAAGCCCAGGGCUCAACCCUGGAAGUGCACUUGAAACUGGUGGGCUUGAAUGUCGGAGAGGGCAGUGGAAUUCCGAGUGUAGAGGUGAAAUUCGUAGAUAUUCGGAGGAACACCAGUGGCGAAGGCGAGCUGCCUGGACGAACAUUGACGCUGAGGUGCGAAAGCGUGGGAGCAACAGGG
rnacentral:rRNA from 1 species